rnacentral:lncRNA from 1 species
AAUAACAAGCACAAGAUAUUUUCUCUUUUUUUUCUCUCUCUCUCUCUCUCCUCGUUCAUGUCAGGGUUCAUUCCAUUUUUAUUUCUUCUAGAAAAUGUGAGGUGAUAUCUCACAUUAACAUAGUAUCAGAGCCAACAUCAGUCGAUUCUGGAUCAGCUCUUCUAUUUUAUAGUAGUUUCAUCGGAUUCCACCGGAGAUUCUGUUCCGUCAAGUUUUUUUUUGGUAAUUUCGUUUCUACUAGGUAUUCGCUGAUCUCUCU